rnacentral:rRNA from 1 species
UACGGAGGGGGCAAGCGUUAUCCGGAUUCACUGGGCUUAAAGGGUGUGUAGGCGGGCUGUUAAGUCAGUGGUGAAAUCUCCGGGCUCAACCCGGAAACUGCCAUUGAUACUAAUGGUCUUGAAUUUUGUUGAGGUAGGCGGAAUAUGUCAUGUAGCGGUGAAAUGCUUAGAUAUGACAUAGAACACCGAUUGCGAAGGCAGCUUAUUGAGCAAAUAUUGACGCUGAGGCACGAAAGCGUGGGGAUCAAACAGG